rnacentral:rRNA from 1 species
CCUACGGGUGGCAGCAGUGAGGAAUAUUUGUCAAUGGGCGAAAGUCUGAUGGAGCAACGCCGCGUGAGUGAAGAAGGGUUUCGGCUCGUAAAGCUCUGUUGGUAGUGAAGAAAGAUAGAGGUAGUAACUGGCCUUUAUUUGACGGUACUUACUUAGCACGUCACGGCUAACUACGUUCCAGCAGCCGCGGUAAUACGUAGGUGGCAAGCGUUGUCCGGAUUUAUUGGGCGGAAAGCGAGUGCAGGCGGUUCAAUCAGUCUGAUGUGAAAGCCUUCGGCUCAACCGGAGAAUUGCAUCAGGAACUGUUGAACUUGAGGGCAGAAGAGGAGAGUGGAACGCCAUGUGUAGCGGUGGAAUGCGGAGAUAUAUGGAAGAACACCAGUGGCGAAGGCGGCUCUCUGGUCUGCAACUGACGCUGAGGCUCGAAAGCAUGGGUAGCGAACAGGAUUAGAUACCCCUGGAGUC